GCAUAUGGCCUUACUGCUGUGAACAUACCUAAUCUCCUCUGAUCUCUGAAGCUAACAGGUUGGGCUUGCUUAGAGUGUGGAUGGAAAACUACUUGCAAAUACCAGCUGCUGUAGCCU
rnacentral:rRNA from 1 species